CGCCCCCAGGCGCUACGGGGUGGCGCGCGGAUUGGCCCUGCGGGCUCGGCCUUUUGUCAGCAGGCCGCACACGCGCCGGACCGGGUACCGCUGUGCCCGGCCUGGCCGCGGCCUAGUCCCGGCAGACGGGACUGACGAGGUCACCAAGCCCAGGCCGAGACGGCGCGGGUGUCAGGGACUUGGGAAUCCCCCUCCCCCAGUCCCGAUCCCGCUUUCCUUUGGGGUUUCACCUCAGAGGACCCGACAGCACUCUUGCAGAACAGCCGUCUGCCUGUCUUCCUGGCUCGCUCCCUGCAGGAAUGGUCUGGGGCAACCCCAGCAACACGCCCACCUGUGGCCAGGAUGAAUAGGAAUCCAGUUCAGGCUUGGCUUCCAUGGCAAUCAAGGCCCACCAGGCCCCAGCAACCUUCCCUACCCCCCAUUCCUUUUUGCUGCCCCCCUCCACACCAGGCAUGUUCCCUGCCACACCAUGCUGUUCCCCUCACCUGGGCUGCCCUCCCAACUCCUCUCUGCCUCUGGAGAUGCUCUGCCAUUCAAGACUUGGCUCAGGCUCCAGGUCCUCCCUGGGCCUUCUAGAGCCCCUGGUUCUCACUCCUCUGAACACUUCCAGCCUGGCUAAUAGCCCACUGCAUCCUGGCCUGGGGUACAGGUGGCCAGCACAGGUGUGGGGGCCAGCUUCCAACACAAGCACGGGUAGGUCCCUCUGCAGACCAUGGGCUGCAAGAGGCCCGGCCUUGCCCACUGCAGGGGCCCUGCGCAGGGCUGGGCACGAAGCAGGUGGGUGUCCACCAAUCUAGUAUCCAAAACCCUGCUUGGUUCACCCCCACCUCUGUUGAAGGAAAGCAACACUGUGAUGGAGAGGAGCAGCUGUGGAUUCAAAUCCUGGCUUGGCCACUUUCUAGUUGUGUGACUUGGUGCAUCUGCCCUCAUCUCCUCAGAGACAAAAAUGGCAACACCUCCCUUCUUGGGUUACUAUGAGGAUUAAAUAACAAAACCUCCAAGAAGCAGA
rnacentral:lncRNA from 1 species